CUCUCACUUGAUUUAUAGAUUUUUUUGGGGGGGGCUUUUUCUGUUUGGCCGCUUGCUGCUAGGAUUUUUUUCCACCUGCAAAAUUAAUUUUCUGUUUCUACAAUGCAGGCAGGCAGGCACUCCCAUGGGGUUACAGUCUUGCAAGCUUUCCAGCUCCUGCCUACAAAGUGAGGAGGAAUGCAAACCGUCUUGUAGCUGCUGCUGUAUGUGCGAGGACUGGAGAUAUUGCUCUGACCAUUGCUGUGACAUCUGCUGCCAGAUGUGUAUGGAUGUGUGCACUGGCCUCUGUCCUGCAGACUGCAGCUAUUCCUUCUGCUAUAUCUGCCUUACAUUUGUACAGAACUGUCUUGGUUUUUUCCAGCAAACAAACAGAAGCAUAACAGAGACAGAAACCAGUAGCAAGUCCACAACAGCAUGCCAAGCGAUUGUCUGACAAACCAAAUGCAAAAAACUGACUUAGAGAAAAAGAAAAUGAAAAUGAAAAAGAAAGCUUUACAAGGACUAUGGUGCUCCAUGAAAACCUGUUCUGCACUGCCAAAAAGCAGUCCUGUUGUUUAAAACUAAUGAAGACCCAGCAGGCUCAACUGUCCUCAAGCUGUAAUAAAGUACUU